UUUCCGUAGGUGAACCUGCGGAAGGAUCAUUAUCGUAUAACCGAGGUGCGAGGGCUGUCGCUGACCCGAAAGGUCGUGCACGCCCGAGUGCCCUCACACACAUCCAUCUCACCCCUAUGUGCACCACCGCGUGGGUCCCCCUUUGGCUUGUUCGGAGGGGGGCUUACGUUUUCACACAAACUUUGUAUGCAGUGUAUAAUGUAUUUUUUGUUUUUGCGAUCACGCAAUCAAUACAACUUUCAACAACGGAUCUCUUGGCUCUC
rnacentral:misc_RNA from 1 species